UAGCUCAGUCGGUAGAGUGUAAGGCUUUUAACCUUGAGGUUGUGGGUUCAAGCCCCAU
rfam:Zea mays cultivar B73 chromosome 8, whole genome shotgun sequence.